rnacentral:lncRNA from 1 species
UCUUCCCUGGGUAUCCUUCUCCCCUGCAGCAUUUAGAGGAAUCUACCUAAAAUUCAGAUUUGAGCCUUCUCACAGCCCAGCUUAAAUGUACAAAAGGCUUCCAUAGCUUCCAACCUCAUUUUUUCCCAGCACUUUCUACUCCACUGUUAACCUUCUAGAGGCACAAGUGUGUUUGUAGUUCCCAUCCACCCAGCACACUUUUAUGCCACCAUACCUUUAUUUACACUGUCCUCUAUGUUAAUGUCUUUCUUGACAUUAUGCCUUUUUACCUUUAUUUUUGGGCCUUCAUCAGUUGUGAAAUAUAACAAACUAUAUACAGGUAAAUAAGCCAUACAUGUACAAUUUAAUGAACAACAGCAAUAGAUGUAUAAUCAUUAUCUAGGAAACAGAUAUGACAAUUAUCUUCCCUCCCCAAAGUCCUCCACUGCCACGCUCUCUCCCUCCUAUGGGAACUCCCUAUCUUGAUUGCCAUGAUAAUAAUUUUCACUUUCCUAUAUAGUUUAUCACAUAUUUACACAUCUCUAAACAAUAUAGGGUGACUUUGCCUAUUUUCAAACAUGUAUAUGGAAUCAUAAUGACAUUAUUCUCUUGAACUUUAUAUGAAUAGAAUCACACUAUUUUUUAGUGUUUUAUGUCCUGCUUCUUUUUUCAAACCAUUAAAUUUGUAAAAGUUAUCAAUGUUCUUGAGGGACCCGUGCUUCAUCAUUUUCAUAGUUCUUCUCUAUUCCAUUAUAUGAAUAUACCGCAAUGCAUAAAUAUCUGUUUUACAGUUGCAUUCUACUGUUGAUGGACAGUUCAGUUGUUUUCAAAUUUAGGUUAUUACUAGCAAUACUGCUAUGAAUAUUCUAGUACAUAUCUCUCGAUAUGCAUAACAAGCCUUUCUAAAGUAGAAUUUUCCAAAAGUUUAUACAUAUGGGUGGAUUUGCUGGUCAUAGGGUAUGUUUAUCUUCAGCUCUACUAGAACACAUCAAAUUGCUUUCAAAAGUGUUGUAAUAAUUCAUACUCCAUCAGCAUGGCAAAAGUUCUCAUUACCCUAUAUUCUCUCCAAUACCUGGUAUGUCAAACUUCUAUUUAUUAUCUUCUCUGAUACAAUCCCAAGUACCUAGAACACUGCCUGUCUCAUAAUAAGCAUGCAUUAAAUAUUUGUUGAAUAAAUUCACAUUUCUUAAUUUCCAAACAUGAGAAUUUUCUGGUUGUCUUUUUAUUAUUGAUUAAUAGCUUAAAUUCACUGUAGUUGAAGAAUACUUCCUGUUCAGUAUCAACUUUUCAAAAUUUGUUGAAAUCUGCCUAAUAUACAAGUCUUUAUUUAUAAUGAUUGUAUAUAUAAAUGAAAGAAUAUAUUCUUUGCAUUUUUUGUUUUUUUUGGUUUUUUUUUAAGAUUUUAUUUAUUCAUGAAAGACAGAGAGAGAGAGAGAGAGAGAGAGAGAGAGGCAGAGACACAGGCAGAGGGAGAAGCAGGCUCCAUGCAGGGAGCCUGACGUGGGACUCAAUCCUGGGUCUCCAGGAUCAGGCCCUGGGCUGAAGGUGGCACUAAACUGCUGAGCCACCCAGUCUGCCCAUAUUUUGCAUUUUUUGGAUGUAAGUUUUAGAUAUAUUAGUACAGAUUUUUAAACAAAUUUAUAAACUGUUUAUAAAAAUUUUCUAUAGUGAUUUUUCUACUUAUAUUACAAAUUACCAACAAGUUGCUAUUAUAAUCUUCUACUAUAUUUGUGGAUUUACCCUUCUGAUAAUUUUUUUCUAUUUUUUAUAUAUUCUGAUGCUGUUGUAAGUGUAAUCUAAAUUUUUUAAUUGUCAUAACUCCUAGUUAAUUGAAUAUUCUUCAUUAUUAGAUUGUUUUCUUAUUCUUUUGUCUUAAAUUUUGACUGACAUUAAUAUAGCUGCACCUGCUUCCUUUUGAAUGGGGUGCAUGAUGUAUUCCUUUCUAUUCAUCUACUUUCAGCCUGUUUCCUUAAGUUUUAAGUAUAUUUCUGGUAGAUAGAAUAUAGUCAGAUUCUGUUUUGUUUUCCUUUUUAUCCAAUUUGGCAGCCUUUGUCUUUUAUCUAGAACAUUUAGUCUAAUUAUAUUUAAUAUCAAUACAUUAAUAUUUGGAUUUAAACUGUAUUUGUAGAUUUAUCUAUUUCUCAUUUCU